rnacentral:sRNA from 1 species
GCUGGGCUUAGUGGCUCACUCCUGUAAUCCCAGCAACUUGGGAGGCUGAGGCAGGAGGAUCAUAAGUUCAAGCUCAGCCUUAACAAUUUAGUGAGGCCCUAAGCAACUUAGUGAGACCCUGUCUCAA